rnacentral:rRNA from 1 species
CUGAGAGACAGCUAUACAUCCCAGGAAAGGGGCACGCGCGUAAAUUUCACAAUCCUGACACACGGAGGUAGUGACAAUAAAUAACAAUGCUGGGCCUCUCUAGGUUUUGGGAAUUGGAAUGAGAA